GAUGAACGCUGGCGGCGUGCCUAAUACAUGCAAGUCGAGCGAACGGACGAGAAGCUUGCUUCUCUGAUGUUAGCGGCGGACGGGUGAGUAACACGUGGAUAACCUACCUAUAAGACUGGGAUAACUUCGGGAAACCGGAGCUAAUACCGGAUGAUAUUUUGAACCGCAUGGUUCAAAAGUGAAAGACGGUCUUGCUGUCACUUAUAGAUGGAUCCGCGCUGCAUUAGCUAGUUGGUAAGGUAACGGCUUACCAAGGCAACGAUGCAUAGCCGACCUGAGAGGGUGGUCGGCCCCACUGGAACUGGAGCACGGUCCCGGCUCCUACGGGAGGCAGCAGUAGGGAAUCUUCCACAAUGGGCGAAAGCCUGACGGAGCAACGCCGCGUGAGUGAUGAAGGUCUUCGGAUCGUAAAACUCUGUUAUUAGGGAAGAACAUAUGUGUAAGUAACUGUGCACAUCUUGACGGUACCUAAUCAGAAAGCCACGGCUAACUACGUG
rnacentral:rRNA from 1 species